rnacentral:rRNA from 1 species
CAGUAGCCGCGGGAAUACAGAGGAUGCAAGCGUUAUCCGGAAUGAUUGGGCGUAAGGGGCUCGCAGGCGGUUUCUUAAGUCUGAUGUGAAAGCCCCCGGCUCAACCGGGGAGGGUCAUUGGAAACUGGGAAACUUGAGUGCAGAAGAGGAGAGUGGAAUUCCACGUGUAGCGGUGAAAUGCGUAGAGAUGUGGAGGAACACCAGUGGCGAAGGCGACUCUCUGGUCUGUAACUGACGCUGAGGAGCGAAAGCGUGGGGAGCGAACAGGAUUAGAUACCCCGGUAGUCCCUGUCUCUUAUAC